UACGGGGGGGGCAAGCGUUGUUCGGAAUUACUGGGCGUAAAGGGUUCGUAGGUGGCCAACUAAGUCAGACGUGAAAUCCCUCGGCUCAACCGGGGAACUGCGUCUGAUACUGGUUGGCUUGAGUGCAGGAGAGGAACGCGGAAUUCCAGGUGUAGCGGUGAAAUGCGUAGAUAUCUGGAGGAACACCGGUGGCGAAGGCGGCGUUCUGGACUGCAACUGACACUGAGGAACGAAAGCGUGGGUAGCAAACAGG
rnacentral:rRNA from 1 species